GACGGACGCUGGCGGUGUGCUUAACACAUGCAAGUCGAACGGUAAGGCCCUUUCGGGGGUACACGAGUGGCGAACGGGUGAGUAACACGUGAGUAACCUGCCCUCAUCUCUGGGAUAACAGUCGGAAACGGUUGCUAAUACUGGAUAUGAGCUUGCAAGGCAUCUUGUGGGUUGGAAAGAUUUUUUUUGGUUGGGGAUGGACUCGCGGCCUAUCAGCUUGUUGGUGAGGUAGUGGCUCACCAAGGCUUCGACGGGUAGCCGGCCUGAGAGGGCGACCGGCCACAUUGGGACUGAGAUACGGCCCAAACUCCUACGGGAGGCAGCAGUGGGGAAUAUUGCACAAUGGACGGAAGUCUGAUGCAGCAACGCCGCGUGCGGGAUGACGACCUUCGGGUUGUAAACCGCUUUCAAUUGUGACGAAGCUUUUUUGUGACGGUAGCAGUAGAAGAAGCACCGGCUAACUACGUG
rnacentral:rRNA from 1 species